GGCGUAGGUGGCCCUGCAAGUCAGACGUGAAAUCUCUCGGCUUAACCGGGAGGUGCCGUCCGAAACUGCUGGGCUAGAGGGCAGCAGAGGGAGGUGGAAUUCCCGGUGUAGUGGUGAAAUGCGUAGAUAUCGGGAGGAACACCAGUGGCGAAGGCGGCCUUCUGGGCUGUUUCUGACACUGAGGUCCGAAAGCGUGGGGAGCAAACAGGAUUAGAUACCCUGGUAGUCCACGCCCUAAACGAUGGACACUAGGUAUGGGGAGUAUCGACCCUCUCCGUGCCGAAGCUAACGCUUUAAGUGUCCCGCCUGGGGAGUACGGCCGCAAGGCUAAA
rnacentral:rRNA from 1 species